AUCCAGCUGUGGAGUCCCAAAUAUAGAACGAAACGGGAGUCCUGGAU
rfam:Schistosoma mansoni strain Puerto Rico chromosome 3, complete genome